AAUCUGGAGACAGGUGCUGCAUGGCUGUCGUCAGCUCGUGUCGUGAGAUGUUGGGUUAAGUCCCGCAACGAGCGCAACCCUUGCCUUUAGUUGCCAGCAGUUCGGCUGGGCACUCUAAAGGGACUGCCGGUGUUAAACCGGAGGAAGGUGGGGAUGACGUCAAGUCCUCAUGGCCUUUAUGACCAGGGCUACACACGUACUACAAUGGCCGAUACAAAGGGCAGCGACAUCGCGAGGUGAAGCCAAUCCCAUAAAAUCGGUCUCAGUCCGGAUUGGAGUCUGCAACUCGACUCCAUGAAGUUGGAAUCGCUAGUAAUCGUGGAUCAGCAUGCCCACGGUCGAAUACGUUCCGGCCUU
rnacentral:rRNA from 1 species